rnacentral:rRNA from 1 species
AGAAUACCAUUCCAUAUCUGAUAAAUAAUAUUUUAGGCUUAACACAUGCAAGUCGCGGGGCAGCAUGAAGUCAGCUUGCUGACUUUGAUGGCGACCGGCGCACGGGUGAGUAACGCGUAUCCAACCUGCCUGUUACCACGGCACAGCCCGUCGAAAGGCGGAUUAAUGCCGUAUGUGGUCCUUUGCGGGCAUCUAAUUAGGACUAAAGGUUUUGCGGUAACAGAUGGGGAUGCGUCCGAUUAGCUAGACGGCGGGGUAACGGCCCACCGUGGCUACGAUCGGUAGGGGUUCUGAGAGGAAGGUCCCCCACACUGGAACUGAGACACGGUCCAGACUCCUACGGGAGGCAGCAGUGAGGAAUAUUGGUCAAUGGGCGAGAGCCUGAACCAGCCAAGUCGCGUGAGGGAAGAAUGGUCUAUGGCCUGUAAACCUCUUUUGUCAGGGAAGAAUAAGGAUGACGAGUCAUUCGAUGCCAGUACUUGACGAAUAAGCAUCGGCUAACUCCGUGCCAGCAGCCGCGGUAAUACGGGGGAUGCGAGCGUUAUCCGGAUUUAUUGGGUUUAAAGGGCGCGUAGGCGGGACGUCAAGUCAGCGGUAAAAGACUGCAGCUAAACUGUAGCACGCCGUUGAAACUGGCGCCCUGGAGACGAGACGAGGGAGGCGGAACAAGUGAAGUAGCGGUGAAAUGCAUAGAUAUCACUUGGAACCCCGAUAGCGAAGGCAGCUUCCCAGGCUCGUUCUGACGCUGAUGCGCGAGAGCGUGGGUAGCGAACAGGAUUAGAUACCCUGGUAGUCCACGCCGUAAACGAUGCUCACUGGAUCUUGGCGAUACACGGCCAGGGUUCAAGCGAAAGUAUUAAGUGAGCCACCUGGGGAGUACGUCGGCAACGAUGAAACUCAAAGGAAUUGACGGGGGCCCGCACAAGCGGAGGAACAUGUG